AGCGAACGCUGGCGGCAGGCUUAACACAUGCAAGUCGAGCGGGCACUUUCGGGUGUCAGCGGCGGACGGGUGAGUAACGCGUGGGAACGUGCCCUCUGGUUCGGAAUAACUCAGUGAAACUUGAGCUAAUACCGGAUACGCCCUUUGGGGGAAAGGCUGUCUGCCGGAGGAUCGGCUCGCGUCUGAUUAGCUAGGUGGUGAGGUAACGGCUCACCAAGGCGACGAUCAGUAGCUGGUCUGAGAGGAUGAUCCGCCACACUGGGACUGAGACACGGCCCAGACUCCUACGGGAAGCAGCAGUGGGGAAUAUUGGACAAUGGGCGCAAGCCUGAUCCAGCCAUGCCGGGUGAGUGAUGAAGGCCUUAGGGUUGUACAGCUCUUUUAUCCGGGACGAUAAUGACGGUACCGGAGGAAUAAGCCCCGGCUAACUUCGUG
rnacentral:rRNA from 1 species